rnacentral:rRNA from 1 species
UACGUAGGGGGCAAGCGUUGUCCGGAAUUAUUGGGCGUAAAGAGCGUGUAGGCGGUCCGGUAAGUCAGCUGUGAAAGUCAAGGGCUCAACCCUUGAAAGCCGGUUGAUACUGUCGGGCUAGAGUCCGGAAGAGGCGAGUGGAAUUCCCGGUGUAGUGGUGAAAUGCGUAGAUAUCAGGAGGAACACCGGUGGCGAAGGCGGGUCUCUGGGCAGUAACUGACGCUGAGGAGCGAAAGCGUGGGGAGCAAACAGG